GGUUGCGGAGGCGUACCCCGGGGUCACGUCCUCCCUUGCCUGGGGGGAAGCGGGCCCUGCCGGGUGGCGCCCUCGGUUCGUCCUCGCUAGCUCCCCGGGGCCAGCCGCCUUUUCGCCGGGUCCCCGCACACCUGCCGACCUGAAGAGAUUCUUGUGACUGUCCCAGCUACACUCAAGGGAAGGAAGGGUGGGAAGACCAGAGAACAGAAAUCUUGGAACCAUCUUAGAAUUCUACCUACCUCGGAACUUCAUGCCAGGAGAAUAUGAAACUAUCCGAAUCCAGGACAAGAAGACACAGCUCACUGUUCUAAAGGAAGCCAGCUGUCAUGUUAUGAGCCACCCUGUGGAGAGGCCUACGUGGUGAGGAACCCAUGUCUCCAGCCAACAGCCAGGAGGGAGCUGAGGCUGCCA